rnacentral:rRNA from 1 species
AUUGAACGCUGGCGGAAUGCUUUACACAUGCAAGUCGAACGGCAGCACGGACUUCGGUCUGGUGGCGAGUGGCGAACGGGUGAGUAAUGUAUCGGAACGUGCCCAGUCGUGGGGGAUAACGUAGUGAAAAUUACGCUAAUACCGCAUACGAUCUAUGGAUGAAAGCGGGGGAUCGCAAGACCUCGCGCGAUUGGAGCGGCCGAUAUCAGAUUAGGUAGUUGGGGGGGUAAAGGCCCACCAAGCCAACGAUCUGUAGCGGGUCUUAGAGGACGACCAGCCACACUGGAACUGAGACACGGUCCAGACUCCUACGGGAGGCAGCAGUGGGGAAUUGUGGACAAUGGGCGAAAGCCUGAUCCGGCCAUUCCGCGUGCAGGAUGAAGGCCCUCGGGUUGUAAACUGCUUUUGUACAGAACGAAAAGGUUUCUACUAAUACUAGGAGCUCAUGACGGUACUGUAAGAAUAAGCACCGGCUAACUACGUGCCAGCCGCCGCCGUAA